rnacentral:rRNA from 1 species
CGUCGUCUUAUCUAAGAAUGAGGAUCUCUAGAAGUCUUGUUUUAGAGUAUAUCUAGACAAUUAUAAGUGAUAGAUGUAUAGUUGAAUAAUCGUACAUGUGCGUUGGAGACCAUAGCAGGAUCAUAA